GUUGACACACCAAUUCCUGUAUGAUCACCGAAGUUAAGCAACGUCGAACCUGGUUAGUACAUAGAUGAGUCAUCACUUGGGAAUACCAGGUGCUGUAA